UUUGAAGAUAACCCCGGAGAUCUGCAGCUACUGAGACACGACAAAGAACCGCAUCCUGCUGUUGUCAAACCCCACCUGAAGAACAUUCCAGAAUACCUCAUUCCUCAGACAAUGAAGGGGGUCUUAAAUCCACUGCCAUUCAAGAAGAGGAGGAAGAGAGAAAAGUCAAACUCACAUGGUGUCACCAAGACCAGUUUUAAGAAGAACGUUCAGGGGAAGAACCCACUGAAGAGUUUUUGCUACAGCAGAAGGAAACCC